rnacentral:lncRNA from 1 species
ACAUCUGAAUUACCAAUCUUUAUUAUUAUUGCAAUAAACACACAGAUUACACUAAAAGCUAGUGAAUCAUAAACUUGCAGAUGACUUAUCCAAACACAAAGAUAAGACAUGAGUUUAUUAUUGUUGCUAUAAACACAUGGAUUAUAGCGAAAUUCAAAAACUAAAAACAAGGAAAAAAGUAGUGAUGAAAACCAAUGCAACUUUUGUAGGGAACACGAUUGCAUUCGCACAUGCAACAAGCCUUUUAAAUCCAUAGGUGACCCAAAUGGGACGAGUGAAGUCUCGUGAGGGUUUCCAGAGACGUUACCCACAAACAUCAUGCAUACUGAUCAUCAACAUCUACCUUGGGAGACUGAGUAGAUAUCCACCCCUCCGGCAUCGGGUGUUUUUUGGUUGAGGCGCAAUUCGAAUCUGUUUUCAAUGAACGGCCUGGUUAAGAGGUCGCUUUGCAAGUGACGUAAUCGACAGCGCGUGAUUAGGUUGUUGCUGUCAGGUGGUCCGACAGGCUCGACCUUGAACAAUGUGCAAGCCCAAUUGUCUUUGGUUUCAUUUCGGUCAGCAGCUGCGGCCAGGACCAAUAGCCUGUUUUGGUCCACCCUUCUCAAGUAGUUGCCGUUGUAGGAGCAUUUGAUAUGCACGUAAUUCUUGUCGGCGUAGUCCUCAUUGUUUGGCUUCUCCGUGGUGAACUUUAUGAACCUGCUGUUUUCAUUGUCCUCGGAAAAUUGGACAAUCUCAUUAAGGUCGCUUUCUGCAUCAAGUUGAUAACGCAAAUACUUGUUGUUGGUAUCUGCUUUCAGCAGAAAGGGGCUUGGUAGUACAGGUGGAGCCAUGUUGUAUAGUGUAGUUGGGAUUGGGAUGAUCUCUCUUUUUUUCUUCUCUCUUGAUGGUUUAAUUUACUUGCUGCGAGUGUGUUGCUCUGUUCAAACCUGCUAUCCUAUUUAUAAGAAAUUAAGCACAAGCUAGCUCAAGUUAUGGUCUUUAAUUAAUAUUAUUUUCGACAAAUCAGUUUCCCAUCUCUUUCAUUGAUAUGAACAUGGCUGAUCUCAUUGGUGUGACGCAAGAUUUGUUAAAAUAGCUGAUCGGAUUGAUUUCUUUGUAUAACUCUUCUGCCAAUUCUGCAACUUGUAGAUGCAAUUCCCAUUACAAAAUUAAAAAAAAAAAAAAAAAUCCUAAACUCAUAUAAGAUAAAUAAAGACUUUUUAUAUCAUAAAAUAAGAUUUUCUAACUUGUACACAAGACUUUAGUUACGAGAUCGAAUAUACAUUGAUGGGUGCGCAUUUUCCUUCGUCAUCUUUUCUGUGCUAUUAAUUUGUGCGAUUGUCGACUUUCAUAAAUUACAACGGCUACAGGUAAAAUGUCACUCCAGUUUUGAUAAAUAGUGAAGGCAUAUGGCAAAGUCUGUGCGGUCGUUUUUCAUGAAGCAAAUUCUUGUAGGUCUAAUGAUGGGGCAUAUGACAAAAACUUCUUUCUUGUUUAAAACUGAGCACAAAUUUUAAAUUUUGUUAUAACAUUUCACAACUAUUAAAGGUUAACUCAAUGACCGUAAGCACCAAAGAGAAAAAUGGUUAAGUGAAUGUUAUUAGAAUUAUAUAAAACUGCUUGCAUAGUAUUUUACGAAUAAGAAAUUUUAUAGAAUAUAGAAUAAGUAUUUCUUUUAAAAAAAAAAAAUUGGGAUGGUAUAUUACACUAAAAUAUUUGUUGUAGAAUUUAGAUAUGAUCAUAGAAAAAGACUUUGCCAAAUGUCAAAAAAAUUUAUACCACGUGGAAUGACUAUAAUUGCCAGAUAGUUAAAAGUUUUGCAACAUGUAAUCGACAUGGUUUCAUAGGACCUACAUCUAGUUGACUUGGUUGUUAAAAUUAAUGUAAGACUUUUAGUUGAUAUUUCUUGAGGGUGAAACACCUUUUGAGAAACGUUUUGGGCCUCAUUACAAUUUUUUCACUUAUUUUUAUGUUUCAACUUAAAUAUUCUACUAUAAAUACAUUUGGGCCUUAACAACUGGUAAAACCAUUUCCAAAUGUAUUUUAAAGAUUUUCUUAAUGUCACGGAAAAUAUUUUAUGAAAAUGAAAGAUUUGAAUUUCCACAAAAAAACGUGGGUUAACUCACGGUUUUUUGUCGGUUUUGUAAAUUCGUAUAAAUAUCUUUGUUAAAUCUAUUUGUUUUCACAUUAACCUUACCGUGAGGUACUUAAAAUUAAUGUAACUUUCUGUCGAUAUUCUUGAGUAUUGACCCUUGUUAAGGCAAAGAUUUGUGCCUCACUACGAUUUUUUUCAUUUAUGUCUUAGGUUUCGUCUUUCACAAAACACAUGGCUGUAGACCUGAAGUUUUGAUUAAAAAUAUUUGUAACAUGACAGCAUAUGGCUAUAGGCGUGGAGUCUUUGUUAACAAUUAAAAGUUUUGUAAUAAAAUAUUUGACUUGGUUUUAUAAGGCCUACAUCUAGAUGAUUUGGUUUUUAAAACAAAUAUAAGACUUUUUGUUGAUAUUUCUUGAGGAUGAAACACCAGUUGAGAAACGUCUUGCAUCUCAUUACAAUUUUUUUUUCAUUUAUUUUUUAGGUUUCAACUUAAAUAUUAUACUAUAAAUACAUAUGUGGCUCAAUAAUUGGUAAAAUCCAAAUCUCUUGUAAACAUUUUCUUAACGUCAUGGAAAAUAUUUUACAAAAAUAAAACAUUUGUAUUUUUCACAAAAGACAAAGGUUAACAAUCACGGUUUUUUUAUCGGUCAUAUAAAUUCAUUCGAAAAUCAUCAUUAAGUCCAUUUGUUUUCACAUUCGCCUUAUCGUGAGGUACUUAAAAUUAAUGUAUAGCUUUCCGUCAAUAUUCUUGAGGAUAGAUCCUCGUUAAGGCAAAUAUUUGGGGCCCACUACCAUUUUUUUUCAUUUAAUUUUAGGUUUCGGCUUAAAUAUACCAUUCAAACUAAAUCUUGGAUCAAUAAUUGGAAACAAAUACUCUCCCCAUGCGAGAUCCUUCGUCAAUUCCCCUGGCGAACUCUGAGUGCCUCUGAAGAAAUGAUUAACUGAAAUUAGAAUUUUUUAAACCUUGUGUUUGGUUGUAUCUAACGAUCCCUAAUACCAAAUUUAAGGUUUAGAUAUAUAAAAAAGAUAUCUCGGGUACUUCAUUGCUAUCCAUUAUGCUCCCUAGUUUCAAGCAAAGCAAAAAAUUCUAAUUGAGUUGAUUUUUGAACAUACAGAGUAGUUAGACAUCUGAAUUACCAAUCUUUAUUAUUAUUGCAACAAACACACAGAUUACACUAAAAGCUAGUGAAUCAUAAACUUGUAGAUGACUUAUCCAAACACAAAGAUAAGACAUGAGUUUAUUAUUGUUGCUAUAAACACACAGAUUACAGCGAAAUUCAAAAACUAAAAACAAGGAAAAAAGUAGUGAUGAAAACCAAUGCCACUUUCGUGGGGACACGAUUGCAUUCGCACAUGCAACAAGCCUUUUAAACCCAUAGGUGACCCAAAUGGGACGAGUGAAGUCUCGUGAGGGUUUCCAGAGACGUUACCCACAAACAUCAUGCAUACUGAUCAUCAACAUCUGACUUGGGAGACUGAGUAGAUAUCCACCCCUCCGGCAUCGGGUGUUUUUUGGUUGAGGCGCAAUUCGAAUCUGUUUUCAAUGAACGGCCUGGUUAAGAGGUCGCUUUGCAAGUGACGUAAUCGGCAGCGCGUGAUUAGGUUGUUGCUGUCAGGUGGUCCGACAGGCUCGACCUUGAACAAUGUGCAAGCCCAAUUGUCUUUGGUUUCAUUUCGGUCAGCAGCUGCGGCUAGGACCAAUAGCCUGUUUUGGUCCACCCUUCUCAAGUAGUUGCUGUUGUAGGAGCAUUUGAUAUGCACGUAAUUCUUGUCGGCGUAGUCCUCAUUGUUUGGCUUCUCGGUAGUGAACUUUAUGAACCUGCUGUUUUCAUUGUCCUCGGAAAAUUGGACAAUCUCAUUAAGGUCACUUUCUGCAUCAAGUUGAUAGCGCAAAUACUUGUUGUUGGUAUCUGCUUUUAGCAGAAAGGGGCUUGGUAGUACAGGUGGAGCCAUGUUGUAUAGUGUAGUAGGGAUUGGGAUGAUCUCUCUUUUUUCUUCUCUCUUGAUGGUUUAAUUUACUUGCUGCGAGUGUGUUGCUCUGUUCAAACCUGCUAUCCUAUUUAUAAGAAAUUAAGCACAUGCUAGCUCAAGUUAUGGUCUUUAAUUAAUAUUAAUUUCCUCAAUCAGUUUCCCAUCUCUUUCAUUGAUAUGAAUAUGGAUGAUCUCAUUGGUGUGACGCAAGAUUUGUUAAAAUAGCUGAUCGGAUUGAUUUAUUUGUAUAACCCUUCUGCGAAUUCUGAAACUUGUACAUGUAAUUCCCAUUACAAAAUAAAUAAACAAAAUCCAAAACUCAUGUAAAAUAAAUAGAGACUUUUUAUGGCAUAUAUAUAAAAUAAGACUUUCUAACUUGUUCAAGCUUAUAGUCACAAGAUCGAAUAUACAUUGAUGGGUGCGCAUUUUCCUUCGUUAUCUUUUCUGUGCUACUAAUUUGUGCGAUUGUCAACUUUCAUAAAUUACAAUGACUACAGGUAAAAUGUCAGUCUAGUUUUGAUAAAUAGUGAAGGCAUAUGACAAAUGUCUACAAUUUGGUAUCAAAGCCAAACUCUGGCCGGGAGUGUGUCAACGAGGACGUCGGGCCCAUAAGGAGGAUGGAUUAUAACAUCACACAUCGUUCAGGGGAAUGGAUUCUGUAAGUCUUAUAUGUAUAUUCCUAUCUCUACCUAGCACGAGGCCUGUUGGGAGCUCACUGGCUUCGGGUUCCAUCAGAACUCCGAAGUUAAGCGAGUUCACACGAGAGCAAUCCCAUGAUGGGUGACCCACUAGGAAGUUCUCGUGUGAGUUCCUAGAAAUAAAACUGUGAGGGCGUGGUCGGGGCCCAAAGCGGACAAUAUCAUGCUACGGCGGGGCCUGGGAUGUGGUAGGGGCCCGGGCUGGAAUGUGACAAUUUGAACCCGAAGCCAGUGAGCUCCCAAAAGGCCUUAUGUUAGGUAGAGAUGAGAAUAUACAUAUAAGACUUACAAGAUCCACUCCCCUGGGCGAUGUAGGAUGUUACAAUCCACCCCCCUUACGGCUCGACGUCUUCGUCGGCACACAUCCGGCCAGGGAUUGGUUGUGAUACCAAAUUGUCACAUCCCGGCCUGGUCUCCCACCACAUCCCUGGUUCGACUUCACCGUAGCAUGAUAUUGUCCACUUUGGGCCCGACCACACCUUCAUGGUUUUGUUUUUGGGAACUCACACGAGAACUUCCCAGUGAGUCACCCAUCAUGGGAUUGCUCUCGCACGAACUCGCUUAAUUUCGAAGUUCCGUUGGAACCCGAAGCCAGUGAUCUCCCAAGAGGGCUCGUGCUAGAUAGAGAUGAGAAUAUACAUAUAAGGCUUGCAGGAUCCAUUCUCCUGAGCGAUGUGAGAUAUUACAAUUAAUGUUCAGUAAAAUAUUUUGUGAAAAUAACAAAUUGCAUUUUAGACAAAAAAAAAUGGCACGAUUUUUAGACGGUUUUGAAAAUUUGUUUAAUACAUCGAUAUUUUUACACUAAGGGGACGAGGAGUUCGGCUAAGCCACACAAAGGGCAGCCUAAUUUGGUUUCAAAUUCGCCAUUCACAAGAUUCAAACUUAGGACCUCCCACUUCCAAGUAGAGAGGAAUACUACCAGAUCGUAGUACUGAGUGGCAAAAAAUCUCAUUAAAUCUACUUGUUUUCACCUUAGCCUUUCCAUGAUGUUUUAAAACUAAUGUAAGGCUUUAUGUUAAUAUUCUUAAGUACUAGCCUCAAUUUAUGCAAUGUUUCAGGCCUUACUUGACACGCCCCAACCUCGAUAUCCCCACAUACCAAGGUAAGCAUAUGCUGGUCGACACCCAACGGUGACAAAGCCAUUUUAAACAUGCAUACAAAUAAAGAAUAUGCAAUUAAAAUGUAAAAUUAUAUUAUAGGAACAUGUAUAGAGCAUACAACUACUAAUAAUAAUAUGGAAGAAUUACUAAGAAACGAUACGAACAAGGAAAUGAUACUUAUACUGAGAAGACUCGAGGAUACCUAUGCCAAAUUACCAUGACGCCGGGAUCAUGUGCCUCGAUCCUAACUCCUGAAGGGGUGCAAAACAGAAAAAGUGAGUGGACCAAAGUUUAUAAUAAUAAUACUAAUAGUAGGAAAACAUUUUAUUUUUGAACAUAAUAACCUCAUGUUUUGAAAACACAUUUAUAAUACUACAUAGAGGUUUUAUAAAAACCCCAGCAUGCCAUAUAAAACAUUCGUAAAACAUGUAUGUAAAACCAAUGUUGAAAAUGGUAAUAACGCCCGAAGGUAAAUCCGUAAAUCUCAUCAGUGAGGUACUUAACUAGAGGUAUCAUAGUCGUCCAAAUGCAGUACCUGUCCAUCACCCGAAGGUGAAGCUGAACAACCUAUCCAUCACCCAAAGGUGAAGCUGUUUAACCUGUCCAUCACCUAAAGGUGAAGCUAUAUAAAAUAACAUACAUCCACACUGACACUAGCCGUGGCUAAUGAAUCUGUUCGACAUUGCUUUUAGUAGUGAAGCUAGGGGUGUAUAAUAUAUCAUAUCUCACUCCUCCAUCCUCUGUGUCAUACGACCAUAGACAUUUAUACCUGUGGUGUGCGGAUGUGCCAUAUGAUAAACCACUAGGUAGUACCAAAAACUUAUUUCCAAAACUCGUAUCAAAAUCUGGAGCUCGCUAGGUCAAACCUCAUCUCAUAAAUCCAAGAUAAAUCAUAUUCAUGAAAUCCAUAAAAUAAUUCAUGUUUGUAAAACUGUAAUAUAAAUCGUAUUCGAAAAUCAUAGAAAUCCAUAUAUGCAAAUCCAAUAAUUCAAUACCUUUAAUGAAAUGUAAUUUCGAUAAAUCAAACUAUUUCGUAAACCAUAAUUAUAAAAGUCUAUAAAGCAUAUUAUAAAUCAUAUUCAAAUCAUGAAAUAUGGAAUGCAUGCUAGGCUAAUAUUUUAUAAAAACAAGUAAGUUAAGAAGGGGUCCACUCACUGAUUUUAUUGCCCGAGAACUGCUCGUACUAGUGAGGAUGACGUCGCUUCCCGCCAACAUGCCUAAACACAAUUAGGGACCAUUUAAUAAAACUAUACUAAAAUGUUAGAAUGUAAAAGGAAUGGAAAAUUCGGAUCCGGCAAGUAGAAAAACCUAAGGAGGGACCUCAGGUUUUCGCUCACGUAUUGUUGUACGAGCAGCCAUGAGGUUAUGGUCCAGAAGGCCAUGUGACGCCAUAUGUGGCGGUAGGCCACCUAGACUAGUCGAAAAAUUCAACAAUUCUAAAAAUUCCCAAAUUUUACAGGAAUGAAGAUCUCAAUGAAAUGAACAACUUUCAUACUUAGGUUGAGGUCCAAUUUGACUGGGAAAUAGCUCAAAUUGCCCUCGAUCCCGUCAAAAUCCUAGAAAUGGGUGCUCUCCAAUUCGUCCUCAAAUCGAACCAGACGCCCCCAAACUUGUGUGGGCUUUGUUCCUGGGUUCAAGGUGAGUGGUUUGAUGGUGGUGGUGGUCGACGUAGCUUUCACGAUCGGCGAAUCUUUGCCGUGGCACCCCUGGAACCCACGGGUUUCGUUCUGCAUGAAUUCAAGGUUAAACCUAGUGAAAUUUGGUUGGAGAUGGAAGAGGAGAAAAUGAUGGUUAGUUUGCAGGUGGUGGCGAGUUUGGAUCGCCGAAAAACCAGUGGAAACACAUCGGAAAGGUCACGCUACGGGUUGGGUUAGCGGGGAGGAACUGACUUAAGGGUGAUCCAGUGCUCCUCCAUUCUCUCAUUUCCCCUCAAUUCUCUCCUUUUUUAUUGGUCACUCUCUCUCUCUUUCUCUUCUUUCUCAUUGGGCGUCCACCCUUAUUUCUCUCAUUUCUCUCUUCUCUCCUCCAUCCAUCUCUUUCAUUUCUAUUCUUUCUUUUCCAUCAUCGCCACAUACAUGGUACAGACUGAUGCUCCAACAAAAUCUGGAGCCUUCCAGAUUUAUGGUCAAUUGACCAUUUUGCCUUCGACUUCGUUUGUUAAUAACUCUUUCGUUAUAACUCCAAUUUACGUUCCGUUUACGCCCACGCGUUCGUUGUGACAAGUACUACAAGUAUACACUAAGAAAAUGGAUCUUAAAAAGUCAACAUAUUUGCCUCGAAGGGUAUUUUCGUAAUUUCACAUUUUAAAAUUAUAAAAACCGUAAUAAUUGGGGAUGGGUCGUUACAUUACUUCAACAACAACACACAACAACAACCAAACCUUAUGCUAUUAAGUGGGGUCAACUGUACUCCACUAUGAUCGAGUUUGCACCAAAUCUUUCGUUAGCUACAAAUACUUCAUAUCAUUUCCUAUAGUAUAUUUCCAAGUCUUAGUAACUUUUCCUCCACUCAUUUUGCCCUAAGCCUUCCUCUCAUAGUUGCCUAUUCUACCAUAGCAUUUUUAGAUUUUCGGUUCAUGUACCAAAACCAUCUUAACCGAUUUUCUUUCAUCUUAUCUUCAAUGGAGACCACUCAUAUUUUACCUCGGAUGUCCUCGUUGUUAAUCCAAUCAUUUUGACACCCUGACCGCAAUAAUACAAGUUACAAGGCCGAGAUAUCUUGGCCGUCAUGAUAUUGACCAUAUGGCCCUAUUCAGGAAUGACUUCACAAGCCAACUUAAUAACGAAGCCAUAGUAAGAUAAUUACGAUGUGAGUGAAUUUGAAUCAAAACAUUCAUUAAUAAUAAAUCAAAAGGUGCUACAAAGUUUCCUAAUCAACCUCCCUGAUUGGGAACAUAUAUUCAAGGUUUAGAUCACAUUGUUAUCACAUCACAUUAGAGCAGCUAGAAGUUUCAUACAAUAGUAAACACAUAAAAGUGUAGUGCUAUGCAUAAUCAAGAGUGUGAUCAUGCAAAUAUUAUUGACAAAAUAAAUAUGCAGUAGAGGAAUCAUCACUAAAAUCCAAGGGAUGAAACCUCAUUGCCAAGCCCACUUGCCACCACUGAGGUUCUCCUGAUUCUCACUACGUCUUGAGGGAUUGAUACAUAAAGUAUGAGUGGAUCAAGUUUUAUCUCGUAAAAAAUCAAUCGAAUAAUCUCUGUUUUGAAAACACCUAUUGUUGAAUUAUACAGGAGAUGACCUUAGGGCCCACAUCCAACCAUAUCGAUAUAGCCCAAACUUGGUAAUUAUUGCCCGCACAAUCUGUCAGGUGUGAAGUUUUAUCACAAAAGGCCUCGGUGUUAGAUGAAGUGAGGACAUGAUAUUUAAACUCUUAUCUACUUAGAGAUAUGGCUGAUGUGUGAUAUUUCAACACCUAUAUAUAUAUAUAUAUAUUAAAAACUACAUGCAUAAUAAUAUUACCAUAAUAGUGGUCACAAUCAAUUCAUCUUGCACGUCAUAUCAAAGAAAGUAAGUCAUUCAUAAAAUCAAAGUAAUAGAAUAUGAUUUUAUCAAUAUUGUAGAUGGUUCUUAUAAUGAUGUAUACGCACGUUGGUGCAACUUCAAUUCCAAUGAUCUCUCUCUUUUAACAACUAACUAUAUUUAUUUCAUAAAUGCUAUCAUUUGUAUAUAUAAAAAAAAUGAUUUGAUCAUAUUAAUUCUGCAUAGUCCCCUCAAGUUGGAUGGUAAAUGUCAUAAAUCAAGUUUUUUAGUCACAAUUGAGUCCUUGAGAUUUGCCUAACUCAUCAUCUUGGUCCCUGAGAUUCAAAAUCAAUAGGAGCGGUCAACAAAAGUCAACGUAUUUGCCUGGAAGGGUAUUUUCAUAAUUUCACAUUUUAAAAUUAUAAAAACCGUAAUAAUUGGAGACGGGUCAUUACAUUACUAUAACAACAACACACAACAACAACCAAGCCUUAUGCUAUUAAGUGGGGUCAACUGUACUCCACUACGAUCGAGUUUGCACCAAAUAUUUCGUUAGCUACAAAUACUUCAUAUCAUUUCCUAUAGUCUAUUUCCAAGUCUUCCUAACUUUUCCUCCACCCCUUUUGCCCUGAGCCUCCCUCUCAUAGUUGCCUCUUCUACCAUAGAAUUUUUAGAUAUUCGGUUGUUGAUGCACAAAACCGGAGGGGUCUUGGAACAACGUAAAUCCGACAGUGAAUAUGCAAGAAAGUAAAUAACACAAGAUGUAUCGUGGUUCACCCCAAGGUUUGGGCUACGUCCACACUGAAUAUGUAUUUAUCUGAGAGGUGAGGGAGAAAAUGUGAGAGCCUCUGAGAGUGAUGCUUUGAGAGGGGGUGAGGAGCCUUAGGAAUUGGUCUCUUCCAAUUGUGAGGGUGAGAGGUCAUUUUAUAGAAUAAUAACUCCUCACUUAUUACAUAUUUGCCCCUUCCUUUAUCACAUAAUUACAUUUAAGUCCCUUGAGUAUUUGUACGAGAUCCAAAUACAAGGCCCUAAAUAUGGUAUUAACAGUAGUCCCCUAAGUCUUCAGUCAAGAGAGUCUUUUGGCUGGAGACUUGAAAUUUAGUCCAUAUGUGGGCCGAAGUAACUAGAUGUUGUCUUAAACUGAUGUUCGAUAUGAGGCGGUGCCCAAUCUGAAAUGAUGCUCAACUAGAAGUAGCACAUGCUGUGAGGCUGCUCGACUCGUGGCUUAUGUUGCCUUGGUUGGCUCGGCUUGUGGCGUUGAAGGUGAGGGAGUCCCUUUUAUAGAAUAAGGGCUCACUCCUCAAUACAUGAAUGAUGGGCUAGAGUUGAUGCUCUCUAAUGAUGGUGAGGGAGUCCCUUUUAUAAAAUAAGGGCUCGCUCCUUAGUACAUGAAUAACGGGUUAGGAGUGAUGCUCGUGGCGAGGCGAUGCUCUCUAACGAAGGUGAGGGAGUCCCUUUUAUAGAAUAAGGGCUCGCUUCUCAGUACAUGAAUAAUGGGUGCUCUCUAAUGAAAGUGAGGGAGUCCCCUUUUAUAGAAUAAGGGCUCGCUCCUUAAUACAUAAAUAAUGGGCUAAGUCCCCCAAAUAUUUUUCAUGAGGCCUCCACACAACAUUCCAGCCCAUUUAUUUUGGGCUUUGCCUUUUUUUUUGUUUUUUUAUUUUUUUUUAUUUUUUACCUUUUGAUGGGGUUUAUACAAAUGUCUCCAAAAGAUAGGAAAAAUAAAUUACAUCAUACAAAAACCAGAAAAGUAAAUCACAUCAUUUUGGUGGGGUGUUUAUUCUUCACUUUUGCUUUUUCAUUAACAUCAUGGUGUCGUAUGUGAAGAGUGGGAACAUGCAUGAUGAAAGUUUGUGGGCAUCUUCUGCGUUGUCAUCGUGCCAAGUUGAUUCCCUUAAUCAACGUAGAGCUUGGGCUGCUGUGCAUUAGUGGGUAGCCAUGCUUUCUGCUUUUCUCUUUUUGCUUUCUGCAAUUAUCUCCGACCCAAAGGUUAAUGCACAAAACAGAAUCCUAAUUCAGCAUCAAGCAGGUAAGCUUGAAAAUCCACUGAGCUGUGCUAGUGCAGUAGUAAGAGCGUUUGUUCCCUGUUUAUCAAUCAAUCUAUGUGCUAUUGGUGUGAAAAACUGUACAGAUUCAGGAUGCACUCCACUAAGAGUAGCAACCACCUGCUACGCAGAUGACUCCAAAACCUUCUCAAUAGUUGGUGGACUAGCAAACUCAAACUUUCACCCCACAUCACGCUCAAACGUUUUAAUUGUUCUUCUCUGGUUGUUAGUAAACAUCAGAACGGCAAUACCUUCUUUCCCUGCGCGUCUAGUAUGCCCAAAGCAAUGCACAAAUGUCUCUCGAUCUUGCCACACUCCCCCCCACCUACUUCAUCGAGUUCUUAAUCUUGCCAAAUGAUGUCGUAGCUGAGUCACUCGCCAAGUCUAGAUUCAGCAAGGUCUUGAGCGACGCGAUGACCCUUGACAUGUUCAGGCUCAAGACGAUUCCUUCACGGCUUCCUCCAUGUCUGUGCCCGUGCUCACUCUCUCUCUCUCUCUUCCCCUUUCCCAAAAGCUGAUAGCUUUAAUUGUACUCAUUAAAAGAGUGGCUUGCAAAAGGUGAGCUUUCCCCUGAAAAAUUGGUGUCACAGUUUGCUGCUGAUCCUCAUAAUGAACAUGCUUGAUUAAAUCUGCCCCCAAUCCCAAAGAUACCGGCUUUGAUAAGACCUCUUUUUGGUGGGACAUUGGUCGAGUCUCUCCCUUUUCCUUUCCUCUUCACUGGGUUGCUGCUGCUGCUGGUGAAUCGCGUCUGACUGGAGCAGCAGAAGAAGUCUAGGGAACGGAUAUUGAAGCAUCAACAGCAUCUGGGUUUGUUCUUGCUUUUCGCCUUGAACUUUCCUGAGGCCCUGUGCUACUAUCAGUCAUAUUCUUCCAUUUUCCUGACAAGAAGAUGACCGACAAGCGGAAGACCGAUAUUUUCAGUAACAUUUUCUCUCGCCAUUGUCGGCGGCGCGUGGACUCGGUUCUUUGAUCUCGGCGAUCUCAUUGGAGACUAGGGUGGCGAUAACAGCGUGGAGUUUGAGGUUGAAUAAUGAGGUUUUGACGGUGAUGUUGUGGGAGAGGGAGUGUCUUGAGAGAUUUAGUGGGUUUGUUUCUCAUACUUCAGUUCUUGAAUUUUUGCCAAAAAGUAGAGAGAGAGAAAGAGAGAGAGAGAGAGCUGAUGAGUGUUUGAGAUUUGGUUCUUUUCAGUUUCUGGGUUUGUUUUUGUGAUUUUGCAGAUUGACGGUGGCGGUGAAAAAAAAUGAAAGAGAACCGACAUAGUUUUUUGUGUCGAUUCCCACAGACGGCGCCAAAUGUUGAUGCACAAAACCGGAGGGGUCUUGGAACAACGUAAAUCCGACAGUGAAUCUGCAAGAAAGUAAAUAACACAAGAUGUAUCGUGGUUCACCCCAAGGUUUGGGCUACGUCCACACUGAAUAUGUAUUUAUCUGAGAGGUGAGGGAGAGAAUGUGAGAGCCUCUGAGAGUGAGGCUUUGAGAGGGGGUGAUGAGCCUUAGGAAUUGGCCUCUUCCAAUUGUGAGGGUGAUGGGUCCUUUUAUAGAAUAAGGACUCCUCACUUAUUACAUAUUUGCCCCUUCCUUUAUCAUAUAAUUACAUUUAAGUCUCUCGAGUAUUUGUAUGAGAUCCAAAUAUGAGGCCCUAAAUAUGGUAUAAACACGGUUCAUGUACCUAAACCAUCUUAACCGAUUUUCUUUCAUCUUAUCUUCAAUGGAGACCACUCAUAUUUUACCUCGGAUGUCCUUGUUGUUAAUCCAAUCAUUUUGACACGCUGACUGCAAUAACACAAGUUACGAGGCCGAGAUCUGGCCCUCACUAAAUUGACCAUAUGACCCCAUUCAGGAAUGACUUCACAAGCCAACUUAAUAACGAAGCCAUAGUAAGAUAAUUACGAUGUGAGUGAAUUUGAAUCAAAACAUUAAUUAAUAAUAAAUCAAAAGUUGCUACAAAGUUUCCUAAUCAACCUCCCCACUUAGGAACAUAUAUUCAAGGUUUAGAUCCCAUUAUUAUCACAUCACAUCAGAGCAGCUAGAAGUUUCAUACAACAGUAAACACAUAAAAGUGUAGUGCUAUGCAUAAUCAAGUGUGCAAUCAUGCAAAUAUUAUAGACAAAAUAAAUAUACAGUGUAGGAAUCAUCACCAAAAUCCAACGAUGAAACCUCACUGCCAAGCCCACUUGCCACCAUUGAGGUUCUCCUAAUUCUCGCUAUGUCCUGGGGGAUUGAUAAAUAAAGUAUGAUUGGAUCAAGUUUUAUCUCGUAAAAAAUCAAUCGAAUAAUCUCCAUUUUGAAAUAACCUAUCGUAGAAUUAUCAAAGAGACGAAGGGCCCACAUUCAACAAUAUCGAUAUAGCCCCAACUUGGUAAUUACUGCCCACACAAUAUGUCAGGUGUGAAGUUUUAUUACGAAAGGCAUCGGUGUUAGAUGAAGUGGGGACAUGAUAUUUAAACUCUUAUGUACUUAGAGAUAUGACUGAUGUGAGAUAUUUCAACACCUUUAUAUAUAUAUAUAUAUAUAUAUAUAUAUAUAUAUAUAUAUUAAAAACUACAUGCAUAAUACUAUUACCAUAAUAGUGGUCACAAUCAAUUCAUCUCACACGUCAUAAGUAAGUCAUUCAUAAAAUCAAAGUAAUAGAAUAUGAUUUUAUCAAUAUCGUAGAUGGUUCUUAUAAUCAUGUAUACGCACGUUGGUGCGAUUUCAAUUCCAAUGAUCUCUCUCUCUUUUAACCACUAACUAUAUUUAUUUAAUAAACACUAUCAUUUGUAUAUAUAAAAAAAUGAUUUGAUCAUAUUAAUUCUACAUAGUCCCCUCAAGUUGGAUAGUAAAUGUCAUAAAUCAAGUUUUUUUUAGUCAAAAUGGAGUCUUGAGAUUUGCCUAACUCAUCAUCUUGGUCCCUAAGAUUCAUAAUCAAUAGAAGUGGUCAAUGAGAUAGUCCACCAACAAUCAUUUUGGUCAUUUAGUGAAAAAUUGGUUAAAUAAAAAUUAAAAUGACAAAAUUACUCUCAAUGUAAUAAACAAUAGGCCAACAUGAUUUGACAAAAGUUGAGGGCAUUUUUGUCAUUUAUCCUUAUUUUAUGGAGAUUUUUGACGGAAUGACGAAAAUGAUUGAUUGUGGACAAACUCAGGGACCAAUUCUAUCGAUUUCAAAUCUCAGGGACUAAAGUGAGGAGUUAUGCAAAUCUCUCGAGAACCAUUUUAACUAAAAAAUGAUUAUUCCUAAUUUCCGAAAGCCCUCGGGAAGAUAUCUGCCAAUUGUACUUGAGAAGAAAUGCAGGAAUGAGGAAUUUAUAAAGACAAUCUCAUUAAGGUCGCUUUCUGCAUCAAGUUGAUAGCGCAAAUACUUGUUGUUGAUAUCUGCUUUCAGCAGAAAAGGGUUUGGUAGUACAGGUGGAGCCAUAUCGUAGUGUAGUUGGGAUUGGGAUGCUCUCUCUUUUUCAUUCUCUGUUGAUGAUCUAAUUUGCUUGCUGUGAAUGUGAUGCUUAGUUCAAACCUGCUAUCCUAUUUAUAAGAAAUUAAGCACAAGCUAGCUCAAGUUAUGGUCUUUAAUUAAUAUUAAUUUCGACAAAUCAGUUUCCCAUCUCUUUCAUUGAUAUGAACAUGGCUGAUCUCUUUGGUGUGACGCAAUAUUUGUUAAAUUAGCUGAUCGGGUUGAUUUCUUUGUAUAACUCUUCUGCCAAUUCUGCAACUUGUAGAUGUAAUUCACAUUACAAAAUAACAAAAAUAAAAUCCAAAACUCAUAUAAGAUAAAUAAAGACUUUUUAUAUCAUAAAAUAAGACUUUCUAACUUGUACAUGACUAUAGUUACAAGAUCGAAUACAUUGAUGGGUGCGCAUUUUCCAUCAACAUCUGUUAUGUGCAUGUAAACUGAGCGUGGAGUCUUUUUUAGCAAUUAAAAGUUUUGUAUCAUUUGAUUGACUUGGUUUGAUAAGAUCUACAUCUAGAUGACUUGGUUCUGAAGACUAAUGUAAAACUUUACGUUGAUAUUUCUUGAGGGUGAAACAUUGUUUGAAAAACGUUUUGGGCCUCAUUUCAAUUUUUUCAUUUGUUUUUUAAGUUUCGGUUUAAAUAUUCUACUAUAAAUACAUUUGUGGCUUUAAUAACUGGUAAAACCACUUUCAAAUAUCUUGUUAAGUUUUUCUUAACGUCACAUAAUUUUUUUAACGAAAAUAAAACAUUUGCAUUUUUCACAAAAGAUGUGGUUUGUCAGUUUUGUAAAUUUGUAUAAAAAUCUUCAUUAAGUCCAUUUGUUUUCACAUUCACCUUACCAUGAGGCACUUAAAAUUAAUUUAUAACUUUCCAUUGAUACUUGAGUAUAGACCCUUGUUAAGGCAAAGAGUUGGGCUUCACUACAAUUUUUUUUCAUUUAUUUUUUAGGUUUCGUGUCAUAUCUUGGCCCGGGCCACUACCACAUCCCGAGCACGAUUCCGCCGGAGCACGAUAUUGUCCGCUUUGGGCUCCGACCACGCCCUCACGGUUUUGUUUUUAGGAACUCACACAAGAACUUCCCAUGGGUCACCCAUCAUGGGAUUGACCUCGCGCGAACUCGCUUAACUUCGGAGUUCCAAUGGAACCCGAAGCCAGUGAGCUCUCAAAAGGCCUCUUGCUAGGUAGAGAUGAGAAUAUACAUAUAAGGCUAACAAAAUCCACUCCCCUGGGCGAUGUGGGAUGUUACAUUUCGGCUUAAAUAUUCUAUUAAAACUAAAUUUGUAGCUCAAUAAUUGGUAAAACUCUUUCCAAAUGCUUUAUAAAUAUAUUGUCUUAAUGCUAAUGAAAAAUAUUUUGUGAAGACUAAGGAUUUGCAUUUCUCACAAAAAAUGUGGUUGCUCACUAUUUUUCUUCGGUUUUGCAAAUUCGUACACAAAUCAUAAUUAAAUCUAUUAGUUUUCAUCUUUGCCUCAGCGUGAUGUUUCUAAGAUUAAUGUAAGAGUUUUUGUUGAUAUUCUUCAGUAUAUACCCAGUUUAGGCAAUGUUGGACCUCACUACUGUUUUUUUUUUAAAAUUAUUUUUUGGGCUUGGACUAAAAUAUUCUAUUAGAAAUAUAUUUGUGGCUCAAUAAUUGGUAGAAACACUUUUAGAUGCCCUAUAAAGAUUUUCUCAAUGCUCUUGAAAAAUAGAAAAUUUGCAUUUUUCACACAAAAAACGUGAACACUCACGAUUUUUAGGCUAUUUUGCAAAUUCGUAAAAAAAUAUUAUCAAAUCUUAAGCCUUUUAUAAUUCUUGUUCUAAAUGGAUUGUCUGUCAGUCAUACAAGAUUAUAAUUACAUGAUAAACACACUGAUGGGUGUGUAAUUUCCUGCAAUAUCUUCAAAGUGCGAUUAAAAUGAGCGAUUGUCGACUUUCAUAAAGUAGUAUGGGUAUAGGUCUUUUAAUAUUGCAAGCUUUUAUAACUCUUAUACUAAAAAUUUGUACAAGUUUAUAAAUGGAUUAACAGACUAAUAUUUUGGGUAUAAAUGAAGACUAAAUGAGGGACUUGAUUCUCAACCUGCACACUACAUAGGUGUGAAGUCUUUUGGUAUAAUUAUAGACUUAAUGUCUCGUUCAUUAAGGUAUUGUGCCUAACUAAUAUGUUUUCAGUUAAUUUUUAGGUUUCAGCUUAAAUAAUCUAGAGUGAUGAUAGACCCACCCCCAAGAACCGAUAUUAUCGUUUUUUUGAUAUAACGAUAUUUCGUGACUUAUCCUUUAAUUAUCGUUAAUAUAUCGCGAUAAUAUCGAUAUUAUUACGAUAUGAAAUCCAAAAAUACUUGAAAAUUUCUGAAAAGUCUCAAUUUUGAGCAUAGAAGGAUUCGAACCCCUCCCAUUUGACUCCUUCAACGCCUUAACCACCAUAUCACUUAUGUUUUUGUGAUAAUAUGCUAAAAUAUUUAUAUAUAUGGUUUUGUUUUGAAUUCUUUUUACAAGAAACAAAUUUGCACAUAUUCCAAUUUUUUUGUGGUAUUAUAUUUUAAAUUGUGUCAAUUAAUUACUUAGUAAAUGGCAUGUGGUUUUUAAUUUUUCUAUUUUUUAUUUGGUCACUUACAUGGUAGGGCUGGAAAAUUCCCGAAAAUCCUAAACCAAACCGAAAAAGUCCCAAACCCAAACCGAAAAAUCCGAAACCAAAACCAUCCCGAAGUUCGGGAAUCCCAUCUUGAAAAAGAUCGAAAUUUUCGAUAUGGGAUUGGUUUCCAAAUCCCAUUUGUUUGGUAAUUCCGAAAUCCCAAAAAAUACAGAAGUAUUCAGUUUCCUAUUGACUUUUGGGUUUUGGUUCUUGAAAGCCAUUGCCAUGGUUGCUGACUAUUCUUCACAAUACACUUACUUCACACAUAGAGAUGAUGAAGAUAGUGAAAAUUUUGAACCUCAUAGGAACUCUAUGUGGUACUAAGUCACUCAUGUAUCUUACCAUGCAAUGUAUAAAGUGUAAAAUAUUGUACUAAUUCAUUAUAUAUAUAAAUGAUUAUGGUGUGUUUAAAUUUCUUUCAUUAACUACUACAUAUUUUCUACACUCACAAUGUUUGCCAGCUCGCUAUAUAUCAACUUAAAUCAGUUAAAUCCAUCAUGCAGUGCAUUUCCUUCCAAUUUUUUUGUGAUAAACUAAUAGAUAAUUGACUAAAUAAACAUCAUGCAAAGUUUCAAUAAAAAUUUCCAAGUUUUUCUUACAAUUUCCGUGGUUUUUAUUCAAUUUUUAUCGAUAUCAAUAAUAUCCCGAUAUUUCCAUCGAAAUUUUCGUGUUUUUAGACUACCGAUAUUUCCGAUAUCAUCGAUAUUUUAUACCUUGCCCACCCCAUUAUCCUAAUUUCACCCACCAUAAAAAUUAAAAAAAAUUAAAAAAUUAUUUCUCCACCCACCAUUAUUCCUAAAAUAACCAAUGUCUACUUUUUCAAACAAUAAUAUUAAUAUUUAAAAAAAAAAAAAACCUUCAUGCUUCCUUAAUUGCCAUUACCCUAAACACACAAGAACGUCCUCCCACCCCCAUAAAAAACCAAAACCUUUGACACCUCCUUGGCGGCAUCUCCUUUGGAAAGAGAGAGAAAUCAAAGGGAAAGGAAGAGAGAAGCACAAGGGGAGUUUUCCAAUACAGAGGUAGAUUGCUCCAAAUCGAUUUAUUCCAACUAGAAUUGGGUAUUCUUUGAUUUUAAAAUCUGGGUUCUCGUCAUAGUUCGUUUAUGAGAAAAAGGAGGAGAUGAUGGAGGUGGUAGUACCAUAAUUGAAAGGGAGAGUCAGGUGGUGUUUGUUGCUGGGGAGGGUAAUGGAUGAUUGGGGAUUUGAUAGUCGUCGGUCCAUCGUGGAUGAUUUAGGAGGAUGAUGGAUUUAUUUUUACUUUUUUUAGUUUUAGUUUUUCUUUAUUCUCUUUUAGUUUAUUUAAUUAAAGUUAUAACAAAUUUAUAAAUGUUGAUUUAAAAGUCUUUUGCUAAAAGGAUAAUUAUGUGAUUAACAUUUUGAUUAAAAGGUGAGUGGGAAAAUAAGACAAGGGGGUGGUUUUAGUAGCACUCAUAAUCUAUUAGAAAUGCAUUUGUGGCUCUGUAAUUGGUAGAACAACUUUCAAAUGCCUUAUAAAUAUUUAAUUAAUGUUCAGUAAAAUAUUUUGUGAAAAUGAAGAAUUGCAUUUUAGACAAUAUAUAUAUAUAUAUAUAUAUAUAUAUGUCACGAUUUUUAGACGUUUUUGAAAAUUUGUAAAAAAAUUAUCAUUUUUUUAAUACAUCGAUGUUAUUACACUAAGGGGAGGAGGAGUUCGGCUAAGCCACACAAAGGGCAGCCUAAUUUGGUAUUAAAUUCACCAUCCACGAGAUUCAAACCUAAGAGCUCCCAUUUCCAAGUUGAGAGGAAUACCACCAAACCGUAGUACUAAGUGGCAAAAAAUCAUCAUUAAAUCUACUUGUUUUCACCUUCGCCUUUCCAUGAUGUUUUAAAACUAAUGUAAGGCUUUACAUUAAUAUUCUUGAGUACAAGCCCCAAUUUAUGCAAUGUUUUGGGCUUUACUUGACACAUCCCAACCCCGAUAUCCCCACAUACCAGGGUAGGCACGUGCUGGCCGACAUCCGAGGGUGACGAAACCAUUUUAAACAUGCAUACAAAUAAAGAUUAUGCAAUUAGAACGAAAAAUGCCAUUGUAAGAACGUGUUCAGAGCAUACAACUACUAAGAAUAAUAUGGAAGAAUUACUAAGAAAAGAUAUGAACAAGGAAAUGAUACCUAUACUCAGAAAACUUGAGGAUACCUAUGCCAAAAUGCUCUGACACCGGGAUCAUGUGCCUCGAUCCUAACUCCUGAGAGGGCGCAAAACAGAAAAGGUGAGUGGACCAAAGUUAUAAUAAUAAUACUAACUGUAGGAAAACAUUUUAUUUUUGAAUAUAAUAACCCCCUGUUUUGAAAACACAUAUAUAAUACUACAUAGUAGGUUUUAUAAAAACCCUAGCAUGCCAUGUAAAACAUUCGUAAAACAUGUAUGUAAAACCAGUGCUGAGCUCGAAGGCAAAUCCGUAAAUCUCAUUAGUGAGGUACUCAACUAGGGGUAUCAUAGUUGCCCGAAGGCAAUACAUGUCCAUCACCCAAAGGUGAAGCUGAAUAACCUGUCCAUCACUUGAAGGAGAAGUUUUAUAACCUGUCCAUCACCUGAAGGUGAAACUAUAUAAAAUAGCAUACAUCCACAUCGACACUAGCCGUGGCUAGUGAGGCUGUCCGACACUGCUUUCGGCAGUGAAGCUGGGGGUAUAUAAUAUAUCAUAUCUCACUCAUUCAUCCUCUGUGUUCUAUGGCCAUAGACAUCUACACCCGUGGUGUGCAGAUGUGCCAUAUAAUAACCACUAGGUAGUACUAAAAACAUAUCUCCAAAACUCGUAUCAAAAUUCGGAGCUCGCUAGGUCAAACCUCAUCUCAUAAAUCGAAGAUAAAUCGUAUUCAUGAAAUCCAUAAAAUAAUUCAUGCGCGUAAAGCCGUAAUAUAAAUCGUAUUAAAAAAUCAUAUAAAUCCAUAUAUGCAAAUCUAAUCAUUCAAUACCUUUAAUCAAACGUAAUUUCAAUAAAUCAAACUAUUUCGUAAACCAUAAUUAUAAAAGUCUAUAAAGCAUAUUACAAAUCAUAUGCAAAUCAUGAAAUAUGGAAUGCAUGCUAGGCUAAUAUUUUAUAAAAACAAGUAAGUUAAGAAAGGGUCCACUAACUGAUUUUAUUGCCCGAGAACCGCUCGAACUAGCAAGGAUGACGUCGCUUCCUGCCAACGUCCUAAACACAAUUAAGGACCAAUUAGUAAAACUAUACUAAAACGUUAGAAUUUAAAACGGACAGUGAAUUUGGAUCUGGCACGUUGAAAAACCUAAGGAGGGACCUUGGGUUUUCCCUAAUGCAUCUUCGUACGAGCGGCCAUGAGGCGACCGCCCGAAAGGCCACGUGUUGCCGCACGAGCCGCCACACGUGGCAGUCGGCUGCCUCUACUCGCAGGAAAAUUCAACAAUUCUAAAAAUUCCCAAAUUUUACAAGAAUGAAGAUCUCAAUGAAAGGAACAACUUUCAUACCUGGGUCGGGGUCCAAUUCGACCAGGAAAUACCUCAAAUCGCCCUCGAUCCUGCAGGAACCUUAGAAAUAGGUGCUUUCCAAUUCGUGCUCAAAUCGAACCCGACGCCUCCAAACUUGUUUGUGCUUUGUUCCUGGGUUCAAGGUGAGUGGUUUGAUGAUGGUGGUGGUGGUCGACGUAGCUUUCACCAUCGGCGGAUCUCUACCGUGGUACCCUCGGAACCCACGAAUUCCAUUCUUCACGAAUUCAAGGUUAAACUUAGUGAAAUUUGGUUGGAGAUGGAAGAGGAGAAGAUGAUGGUUAGUUUGCAGGUGGUGGCGAGGUUUGGGUAGCCGGAAAACCAGUGGAAACACGUAGGAAAGGUUAUGCUACGGGUUGGGUCGGCGAGAAGGAACCGACUCAAGGGUGAUCCGGUGCUCCUCCACUUUCUCCUUUCCCCUCAUUUCUCUCCUCUCUGAUUGGUCACUUUCUUUCUCUUCUUUCUCAUUGGGCAUCCACCCUCAUUUCUCUCUUCGUUCCUCCGUCUAUCUUUCUCUUUUAUAUUCUUUCUUUUCCAUCACAGCCACACACGUGGCACAGAUUGAUGCUCCAACAAAAUUUGGAGCCUUCCAGAUUUAUGGUCAAUUAACCAUUUUGUCCUCGACUUGGUUCGUUAAUAACUCUUUUGUUAUACUCCAAUUUACGUUCUGUUUGCGCCCAAGCGUUCGUAGCGACGAGUACUACAAGUAUACGCCAAGAAAAUGGAUCUUAUGUGACAUGACAAAGCGGUCAACAAAAGUCAACAUAUUUGCCUCGAAGGGUAUUUUUGUAAUUUCACAUUUUAAAAUUAUAAAAACUGUAAUAAUUGGAGACGAGUCGUUACAUUACUCCAACAACAACACACAACAACAACCAAGCCUUCUGUUAUUAAGUGGGGUCAAUUGUACUCCACUACGAUCGGGUUUGCACCAAAUAUUCCGUUAACUACAAAUACUUCAUAUCAUUUCCUAUAGUCUAUUUCCAAGUCUUCCAAACCUUUUCUCCACUCCUUUUGCCCUGAGCCUCCCUUUCAUAGUCACCUCUUCUACCCUGUUUUGCUUGUGCUCGUCGGGGAAGGAGGCCGGAGCCUUCCUAGCUCCGGUCGACGACAAACCAACAUCUAGGGCAUGAUUCACUUACCAAAACAAAAAGUCGGAAGAGAGGAAGAGAUUGAUACCUUUAAUUCGUUGUGAAAGGGUUGGAGGUGGCCGAACUUGGGCUCGCACACCCAUGGCUCGCCGGGAACUGGGUUUAGCACCCCUGGUAUCUCUGUGCAACUCGUCGUCACAAAUACAAAAUCUAAGUUAGAAAUAGGCCACGAGGACAAGAAUGGAGAGAUUACAUGUGUUCCCGAGGCUUACCAAUCGUCGGAAAGAUGAGGGACUCGUGAGAGUUCCUCUGUGCUCCAGAGAGAGAGAGAGAGAGGGAGAUAGCGAGGUGAUGAUGCCGUUAUGGGUAUGUAUGUGUGUUGUGUGAAGCUCGUGGAAGGGGAGGGUGCAGCGAGGGAGAGGGAGAGAAUUGUGAGAUAAAGAGAGAGCUUUGAGAGGUGUAAGAUGCAUGGGAACAUGAAAGAAGAGAGGGACAGGGAAUUGGGCCCGGGGGACAAAACUAAAACAUGUGGGCCUCACAGGCACACACAUUAAGACCCAAUACAAUUUUUAAAAUCGGGGGUGGGGUUUUAGAAGGGAGGAAGGGUGGGGGGAGACAAGUGGGAUAAAGGUGGGUGGGUCCCGCAUUUUUUUUUAUAAAAUAUUUAAAUAAUUGUAUUUUAAUUUUUAAUAGAAAGUUGGCUCCGCCUCAAGCCACGUCAGCAUUUAACAGAAGAAUUAAUAGACAAACUGAACUUAAUUAGAUUUUUUUGCUUUAUGGUUUAGAUUUUUUUGCUUUAUGGUUUAGAUUUUCUUAAUGUCACGGAAAAUAUUUCUUAAAAGUUUUGCAACAUGCAAUCGACUUGGUUUCAUAAGACCUACAUCUAGAUGACUUGGUUGUUAAGAUUAAUGUAAGACUUUCAGUUGAUAUUUCUUGAGGGUGAAACACCGUUUGAGAAACGUUUUGGGCCUCAUUACAAUUUUUUCACUUAUUUUGUAUGUUUCGGCUUAAAUAUUCUACUAUAAAUACAUUUGUGGCUUAACAACUGGUAAAACCACUUCCAAAUGUAUUUAAAAAUUUUCUUAAUGUCAUGGAAAAUAUUUUACGAAAAUGAAAGAUUUGCAUUUCCACAAAAAACGUGGGUUAACUCACGGAUUUUUGUCGGUUGGUAAAUUUGUAUAAAUAUCUUCAUUAAAGAUAUUUGUUUUCACAUUAACCUUACUGUGAGGUACUUAAAAUUAAUGUAACUUUUCGUCAAUAUUCUUGAGUAUAGACCCUUGUUAAAGCAAAGAUUUGGGCGUCACUACAAUUUUUUUCAUUUAUGUCGGCUUUCACAAAGCACAUGGCUGUAGAUGUGAAGUCUUUGAUUAAAAAUAUUUGUAACACAACAGCAUAUGGCUAUAGGCGUGGAGUCUUUGUUAACAAAGAAAAGUUUUGUAACAAAUAAUUGACUUGGUUUUAUAAGACCUACAUCUAGAUAACUUGGUUUUUAAAACAAAUAUGAGACUUUCUGUUGAUAUUUCUUGAGGGUGAAACACCGGUUAAGAAAUGUCUUGGAUCUUGUUACAAUUUUUUUCAUUUAUUUUUUAGGUUUCAGCUUAAAUAUUAUACUAUAAAUACAUAUGUGGCUCAAUAAUUGGUAAAACCAUUUCCAAAUGUCUUGUAAACAUUUUCUUAAUGUCAUGGAAAAUAUUUUACAAAAAUGAAACAUUUGUAUUUUUCACAAGAAAACAAGGGUUAACACUCACGAUUUUUUUUAUCGGUUUUAUAACUUCAUACGAAAAUCAUCAUUAAGUCCAUUUGUUUUCACAUUCACGUCAUCAUGAGGUACUUAAAAUUAAUGUAUAGCUUUCCGUUGAUAGUCUUGAGUAUAGACCCUCGUUAAGACAAAUAUUUAGGGCUCAUAUUUAGGGCUCACAACCAUUUGUUUUCAUUUAAUUUUAGGUUUCGGCUUAAAUAUACCAUUCAAACUAAAUCUUGGCUCAAUAAUUUGAUUUUUUUUUUAAAUUUUGUGUUUGAUUGUAUCUAACGAUCCCUAUUCCAAAUUUAUGGUUUAGAUAUAUAUAUAUAUAUAUAUAUAUAAAAGAUAUCUCGGGUACUUCAUUGCUAUCCAUUAUGCUCCCUACUUUCAAGCAAAGAAAAUGUGAUUGAUGGUACAAAUAGAUACAAUCUUAUACUUGCUUGUUUUUGAACCUGCUUUGAUUUAGGGGUGGGUAUAAAAAUCGGGUACUUCAUUGCUAUAUAUUUCGUCAGUUGUAUGUCAAUUCUUCUGUUAGAUGCUGACGUGGCUUGAGACGGGACCAACUUUUGUUAAAAAAAAUUAAUAAAAUAUUAAAAAAUUAAAAUACAAUUAUUUAAAUAUUUUUAUAAAAAUAAUGUGGGACCCACUCACCUUCUUCCUAUCCCACCGGUCUCCCCCCACCCUUCCUCAUGUCGCUCCAAAACCAAAACCCCCUUCUUCCCCAUCCACCUGUGUCCCCCACCCCCAACCUUUCUUCAUCACCAAAACCAGAGCCCCAAUCACCCACCACUUUCUCCUAAAAAUCCGCUUUCCCAAAAAAUCCCCUUUAUUCUUCUUCUUCUUCUUCUUCUGAGCAACCCAACACAAAAAUCCCCUGAACCCAAAAAUCCCCUGAACCCAAAAAUCCGCCAUCUCCCUUUCCCCUAUCUCCCAUCACUCGCCUACUCCCUUAUCUCCAAAUAUGUGGAUGGAGACCAAGAGCAUGAGACAAAGCGGACUUGAGAAACGAGAGCUCCUUCCCGGUCAUGUGUUGACAACGAAAAUACGAACUGAUGGCAAGGUGGGUUUUUCGAUGGACAAGUCGUCUAGGUGGUGGUGUACUGGGGGAAGAGCUCGGCAUGGAGGUUCUCGUCGGAGAUGGAUGUGUAAUGGGGAAGGAAGUGGUUGCAGGUGAAGCAGAAAGGGCAGAUCCAUAUCUUGGCGGUGUAAUCAACGGUGGUGAAGGGGUUGAGGACGGAGCAGCAUAUGCGGCAGCAGAUUGGGGGGGGGGGCAUAGGGGAGGACGUGCAUGGAAGGGAAUUGCUUGAUCGGAGUGUAGAUGGCUGGGUGAUUAGGUGAAGAAGAUGAUCGAGUGGGGAGGAUGAGGGUGAGGGAGAGUCACUGUGGGGUUCUGGUUUUGGAGUGAAGGAAUGAAGGGUAGGGGAGACAAGCGAGAUAGGAAAACGGUGGGUGGGCAUCACAUUUUUUAAAUAUAAAAAUAUUUAAAUAAUUGUAUUUAAUUUUUUAAUAUUUAAUUAAUAGAAAGUGGCCAUCGCCUCAAGCCACGUCAGCAUUUAAUAGAGGAAUUGAUAGACAAACUGACAGAAGGUAUAACAUUGCAACAAAUUUGAAGAUAAUGUAUGACAUUGAAAUGUUUUAAAGAUGAGGGUAUGAAACUAUGGCUGACCCAAUAGUUGAGGUAGAUUUUUGUAAUUUACCCUAUAUUUGUUAGAAUCGUAAACUGACGUGAACCGAACUAGAAAUGGCGUAAACCGAAGCGUACGGUUUUAGUAAUAAAUUUAAGCGAAACCGCACCGAACUGAACGGUUGAUACUUUCCGAUAUUAGUUCUGGUUCGAAAGUGAAACUGGAUUGAACCAAACCAUGGCCACCCUUUUGAUAUGAGAUAGUUCAUUUACAUAUUUUGGAUGAAAUGGUUUAAAUAGGAGUCCAACAACUUUGCUGAACCUUGAGAUUAGGCUAGAAAAAAAUACCAAAAAUCCCAAACCGAACCGAUCAAAAUUUCGGUACAGAAAUCGUUCUCAAGUUUUUGGGAUUUCUGUAAUCCCAAACCGAACCGAAAUAUAUAUAUAUAUAUAUAUAUUAUUGAAUUUUUAAAUAUAUAUUUAGAAUUUUAAUCUCAACCGUUGAAUACAAAUCAAAAUUCAAACCCUCAGACUUUGACUUGGCCUUACUCUCUCGCUCCGUCUCUCGACUUUGACUCGACCUUGCCUCAGAGUCUCGAACAACCUCACCACCACCCUUCUCGACCUCACCGCAGACAACCUCACCAGUCACCUCAGAAUCCGGCCACACCCUUAGACCCUUUGAUCUCUCUUUCAACUUCUCAUCCUUCAAACCCUCACUGUGGAGGAGCCUUCCUUCAUAGCACAGAGGCAGAGCUAUGGCCACCGGUGCCGCUCACCUAUCUGAUCUCUCUCUCAACUUCUUCAUCCAUAUUCCAGUGCACUGCGCACUGAUUCUCACCAAAUCAGAUAAAUUUUGGAAUUAAUUUUGGGUUUGUGAAAUUUAGAUUAGGGUUUGUGAAAUUUAGCACUUUGAGCAUUUUGUUUGAAUAUUGAAAUUCUUGAAACGAAAUUAUUUGGAAGAGUAGGAAUGCGAUUCUAGGGUUUUGUUAGCAGAAAUUCUAGUUCGCAAUUUCAAUUGACUUUAAUUUUUGAUGGCCACCACUUUGAUCAAGAACAUAAAGACCAGGUUUUUUCAUGUAUGUCUUUCAAAAACCUCUUUUUUAGCUUGAUUUUUUGCUUAAUUUUGUGAUUCUGAUUAAUCUGUUGCGAUUAUGAAUUAAUGAAAGACUCGUUGUAUUAGGUUGAGGACAUCCAAAAGAAAGUUUAAGGAGCUAAUAAAGUGCCAUAACGACACGGUUUCCAUUCGGUAAUUUGCGUUAGUCGUGUCUUCACUUUACAUUAUAGCGAUAACUUCCUGUGACUUGGUCUGCACUAGCAGUUUAGAGUACAUAUUUCCAGAUUAUGCUUUCAUUUGCUAAAUACCUGCUUGAUUCUUUAGUUAACCUCUGGGAAUCCCAUCUCAUAUUCUUGGGAAGUCCCUGAUUUGCUUUUGACUUGGGUUCAAUUACUUGCUAAUUACUUAAUUGGGUAUAUGAAGAAAGAGUUGUUAAUUACUUACUUGGUGCAUCAAUUUGUUCAGUCUGGAUUGCUGCUCAAGGGAAUUAUUGUUUUUGUACUCUGUUUUUAGGGUAUUUUGUAUAGGAAAUGGUGGUUGUGAUGAAGCCAAUUGAACUACUACUCUGCUUGUGAUGAACAGAUUUUAGUGGAUGUUUUUGCAGAGAAAUUGUUGUGAAAUUACGUUGUUUGUGGCUUAAUUUCAUUUACUUGGAUGUUUUGAUGGUCUACAUUUUUAUUCUCAAAGAAGUUAGCAUCUUGGUUGGCUACAAUAUUUUAUGAUGAUUUGUUGUGUGAUUGUUGCAAGUUUCAUGCUUUAGUUUCUUUUGAGAUGAUUGAAUUUUGCAGAUGCAAUUAGUUUCUGCAGAUUGAAUUGGAUUGGGAAUUUGGGUGUCCUAAGUUCUGUAGAUGCAUAUCAGAUACAAUUGUAGCAGUCUGCCUGCAAUUUUGUGUGAAUUUUAUUUCAGGAUUCCCGAUUUGUCUCGAAAUCCUAAAACUAUUUUGGGAUUCCCGAAAAUUUGGUUUGGGAUUGGUCUUGAAAUUAGGAUUCCCGAAAACUUCGGUUUAGGAAUCGGGACAAAGUUUUUGGUUUGGUAUCCCAUACCGAACUAGCCCUAAGAUUAUUUAGCGAUUUUGGUUGCCAUAGAAUCUCAGCGUUUUGUACAUCUUGCUUAGGCAGGUUGAUCAAUAGGAUUUAAUAUUUGUUGGAUUAUGGAAGUUGUACUAAAUCCUGUAUGAUUUGCAGUGGUAGUCUUACUUUAACCGAAAUAGAAGGGGGCGAAAGAGUUAUACGAAGAGUUCUAGUAAAACCAUAGCUUUGUACUCCGAUUAUAUAGACUGGUAGAUACACUGUAACAACACACUUAGCUACUUGAUGCAAAUAUUCUACUAAUCCCUUCAUUUUUUUGUUAAGUUUGAUUUCUUUCCACCUUGAUUCCAUGUAGUUACUCGAAUUCUCUGGUACGGCAUAUACACCACAUUUGAAAUGCAGGUCCCCUGGUCCUUGAUCCUUCACCCCAAACUUCUUGACACCAUCGAUGAAAACUAUAAUGUUCCAUUUGUCAACGUUGUGGAUUAAGUUUACCCCAAACCACUUGUCGUAGAGAUGCGUAACGACUUUGUAUUUCUAGUAUUUGAUAUCUCCCGCACCCAUCCCUUUAAUAAUAAUAAGAUGCGUAACUAUACAAAGUAUUUCAUAUCUCCCCCACCCAUCCCCUUAAUAAUAAUAAUAAUAAUUUUUUACCAAACAUAGACCAUAUGUGCCAAGUCCGUCUUCCUCUGCUUGAUGAUCUCAAUAAUAAUAAUAAUAACAAUAAUAAUAAUAAUAAUAAUUUUUGGUUUUUUAUAUUAGCACCCCACAAAAUGUUGAAUGCAUCACACAUUAAAAUUUAAUAUUAAAUAACUUAUUUAUUCUACUAUGCAAUGACAAUUUUGACCUUAUUAGGUUAAAAAAAAAAAUAAUUCUAUAUACACCCCCAAUCACUUUUAACGUAUUAUUUAUCUUCUUCAACUAUCAAAAACCCUUCGACUCUCUAUUGUUGAACAAAAACCUAACCAAUGAAACUACAAACAUGUUGAUUGAGAAAAUUAUUUUUGAUUAAUGAAACACGAAAUCGAUGUUUCUGAAGCUUCACAUGUUGUAGACUUCGCAUUAUUUAUUGUUUUAGUGAUUUUGACAACAUCAAUAAUUAUUUAAUCUUGCUUUUGAUGUGUUAUUUAAGCUUCUAUGUUCGUAUUCAUCUUUUAGGGAUCACAGGGAUUACAUGAAGAAUUAAACAUCUAAAAUUACCACCAAAUAUUAAAAACAGACGACAUGAGUUUUAAUGGUGGAAUUAAAAACAACCCACAUAUGCUUUAAAUCCCAGGCGGCAUCUUUUGUCAAACUUUUAAUCAACAUUAUUUGUCCAAAUUAAAAGGUUUGUAAGAUUUAAGAAAUGUGGGGUGUAUAGAAAAUAUGGGAUGCAUAUAGAAAAUGUUAGGUGUAUAUUAAGAAUGUGGGGUGUGAGGAUAUUAUGGGAAAGUAUGUGGGGUGUAUUAAGAUAAUUUUUAAAUAAAAAAGCAAAUGUGGGGUGUAUUAAGUAUGUGAGGUUUAUUUAAUAAUUUGUAGGAUGUUAAUAUAAUAAGCCUAAUUUUUUAAUAAACAUAGACUAUGCCAAGUUCCUCUUCCGCUGCUUGAUGAUCUCUCUACUCACUAUUCAAUCAAGGGAGUUGACUUCUAUUUAUGGAAAAUAUACAAAAUAAUAGAAUAUGAUUUGAUCAACAGCGUAGAUGGUGCUUAUAAUCAUGUCUAUGCACAUUAGUGCGACUUAGAAGAAAUGCAAGGAGGAAUUUAUAAAGACAAAGGUUACUUGCUGUUCGCUGCAAAAAAGGGCAUUCAAAGGACAAUUUUCCCAAGUUUUUCACCGCCGUUUUUACCAUUCGCUACAAAAAAACAAAUACUCCCCCCCCCUGCGAGCUCCUUGUGUUUGGUUGUAUCUAACGAUCCCUAAUACCAAAUUUAAGGUUUAGAUAUAUAAAAAAGAUAUCUCAGGUACUUCAUUGCUAUCCAUUAUGCUCCCCAGUUUCAAGCAGAGCAAAAAAUUGUAAUUGAGUUGAUUUUUGAACAUGCAGAGCAGUUAGACAUCUGAAUUACCAAUCUUUAUUAUUAUUGCAAUAAACACACAGAUUACACUAAAAGCUAGUGAAUCAUAAACUUGCAGAUGACUUAUCCAAACACAAAGAUAAGACAUGAGUUUAUUAUUGUUGCUAUAAACACAGGGAUUAUAGCGAAAUUCAAAAACUAAAAACAAGGAAAAAAGUAGUGAUGAAAACAAAUGCCACUUUUGUGGGGAACACGAUUGCAUUCGCACAUGCAACAAGCCUUUUAAACCCAUAGGUGACCCAAAUAGGACGAGUGAAGUCUCGUGAGGGUUUCCAGAGACGUUACCCACAAACAUCAUGCAUACUGAUCAUCAACAUCUGCCUUGGGAGACUGAGUAGAUAUCCACCCCUCCAGCAUCAGGUGUUUUUUGGUUGAGGCGCAAUUCGAAUCUGUUUUCAAUGAACGGCCUGGUUAAGAGGUCGCUUUGCAAGUGACGUAAUCGGCAGCGCGUGAUUAGGUUGUUGCUGUCAGGUGGUCCGACAGGCUCGACCUUGAACAAUGUGCAAGCCCAAUUGUCUUUGGUUUCAUUUCGGUCAGCAGCUGCGGCCAGGACCAAUAGCCUGUUUUGGUCCACCCUUCUCAAGUAGUUGCCGUUGUAGGAGCAUUUGAUAUGCACGUAAUUCUUGUCGGCGUAGUCCUCAUUGUUUGGCUUCUCAGUGGUGAACUUUACGAACCUGCUGUUUUCAUUGUCCUCGGAAAAUUGGACAAUCUCAUUAAGGUCGCUUUCUGCAUCAAGUUGAUAACGCAAAUACUUGUUGUUGGUAUCUGCUUUCAGCAGAAAGGGGCUUGGUAGUACAGGUGGAGCCAUGUUGUAUAGUGUAGUUGGGAUUGGGAUGAACUCUCUUUUUUUCUUCUCUCUUGAUGGUUUAAUUUGCUUGCUGUGAGUGUGUUGCUCUGUUCAAACCUGCUAUCCUAUUUAUAAGAAAUUAAGCACAAGCUAGCUCAAGUUAUGGUCUUUAAUUAAUAUUAUUUUCGACAAAUCAGUUUCCCAUGUCUUUCAUUGAUAUGAACAUGGCUGAUCUCAUUGGUGUGACGCAAGAUUUGUUAAAAUAGCUGAUCGGAUUGAUUUCUUUGUAUAACUCUUCUGCCAAUUCUGCAACUUGUAGAUGCAAUUCCCAUUACAAAAUAAAAAAUAAAAAAUAAAAUCCUAAACUCAUAUAAGAUAAAUAAAGACUUUAUUUACGGGAUCGAAUGCACAUUGAUGGGUGCGCAUUUUCCUUCGUCAUCUUUUCUGUGCUAUUAACUUGUGCGAUUGUCGACUUUCAUAAAUUACAACGGCUACAGGUAAAAUGUCACCCUAGUUUUGAUAAAUAGUGAAGGCAUAUGGCAAAGUCUGUGCGGUCGUUUUUCAUGAAGCAAAUUCUUGUAGGUCUAAUGAUGGGGCAUAUGACAAAAACUUCUUUCUUGUUUAAAACUGAGCAUAAAUUUUAAAUUUUGUUAUAACAUUUCACAACUAUUAAAGGUUAACUCAAUGGCCGUAAGCACCAAAGAGAAAAAUGGUUAAGUGAAUGUUAUUAGAAUUAUAUAAAACUGCUUGCAUAGUAUUUUACGAAUAAGAAAUUUUAUAGAAUAUAGAAUAAGUAUUUCUUUUUAAAAAAAAAAAAUUGGGAUGGUAUAUUACACUAAAAUAUUUGUUGUAGAAUUUAGAUAUGAUCAUAGAAAAAGACUUUGCAAAAUGUCAAAAAAUUUAUACCACGUAGAAUGACUAUAAUUGCCAGAUAGUUAAAAGUUUUGCAACAUGUAAUCGACAUGGUUUCAUAGGACCUACAUCUAGUUGACUUGGUUGUUAAAAUUAAUGUAAGACUUUUAGUUGAUAUUUCUUGAGGGUGAAACACCUUUUGAGAAACGUUUUGGGCCUCAUUACAAUUUUUUCACUUAUCUUUUAUGUUUCAACUUAAAUAUUCUACUAUAAAUACAUUUGGGGCUUAACAACUGGUAAAACCAUUUCCAGAUGUAUUUUAAAGAUUUUCUUAAUGUCACGGAAAAUAUUUUACGAAAAUGAAAGAUUUGAAUUUCCACAAAAAAACGUUGGUUAACUCACGGUUUUUUGUCGGUUUUGUAAAUUUGUAUAAAUAUCUUCGUUAAAUCUAUUUGUUUUCACAUUAACCUCACUGUGAGGUACUUAAAAUUAAUGUAACUUUCCGUCGAUAUUCUUGAGUAUUGACCCUUGUUAAGGCAAAGAUUUGGGCCUCACUACAUUUUUUUUCAUUUAUGUCUUAGGUUUCGGCUUUCACAAAGCACAAGGCUGUAGACCUGAAGUUUUGAUUAAAAAUAUUUGUAACAUGACAGCAUAUGGCUAUAGGCGUGGAGUCUUUGCUAACAAUUAAAAGUUUUGUAAUAAAAUAUUUGACUUGGUUUAUAAGACCUACAUCUAGAUGAUUUGGUUUUUAAAACAAAUAUAAGACUUUUUGUUGAUAUUUCUUGAGGAUGAAACACCAGUUGAGAAACGUCUUGCAUCUCAUUACAAUUUUUUUUUUCAUUUAUUUUUUAGGUUUCAACUUAAAUAUUAUACUAUAAAUACAUAUGUGGCUCAAUAAUUGGUAAAACCAUUUCCAAAUCUCUUGUAAACAUUUUCUUAACGUCAUGGAAAAUAUUUUACAAAAAUAAAACAUUUGUAUUUUUCACAAAAGACAAAGGUUAACAAUCACGGUUUUUAUAUCGGUUAUACAAAUUCAUUCGAAAAUCAUCAUUAAGUCUAUUUGUUUUCACAUUCGCCUUAUCGUGAGGUACUUAAAAAUAAUGUAUAGCUUUCCGUCACUAUUCUUGAGUAUAGAGCGUAGUUAAGGCAAAUAUUUGGGGCCCACUACCAUUUUUUUUCAUUUAAUUUUAAGUUUCGGCUUAGAUAUACCAUUUAAACUAAAUCUUGGAUCAAUAAUUGGAAACAAAUACUCUCCCCAUGCGAGCUCCUUCGUCAAUUCCCCUGGCGAACUCUGAGUGCCUCUAAAGAAAUGAUUAACUGAAAUUAGAAUUUUUGAAACCUUGUGUUUGGUUGUAUCUAACGAUCCCUAAUACCAAAUUUAAGGUUUGGAUAUAUAAAAAAGAUAUCUCGGGUAAUUCAUUGCUAGCCAUUAUGCUCCCCAGUUUCAAGCAAAGCAAAAAAUUCUAAUUGAGUUGAUUUUUUAACAUACAGAGUAGUUAGACAUCUGAAUUACCAAUCUUUAUUAUUAUUGCAAUAAACACACAGAUUACACUAAAAGCUAGUGAAUCAUAAACUUGUAGAUGACUUAUCCAAACACAAAGAUAAGACAUGAGUUUAUUAUUGUUGCUAUAAACACCCGGAUUACAGCGAAAUUCAAAAACUAAAAACAAGGAAAAAAGUAGUGAUGAAAACCAAUGCCACUUUCGUGGGGAACACGAUUGCAUUCGCACAUGCAACAAGCCUUUUAAACCUAUAGGUGACCCAAAUGGGAAGAGUGAAGUCUCUCGUGAGGGUUUCCAGAGACGUUACCCACAAACAUCAUGCAUACCGAUCAUCAACAUCUGACUUGGGAGACUGAGUAGAUAUCCACCCCUCCGGCAUCAGGUGUUUUUUGGUUGAGGCGCAAUUCGAAUCUGCUUUCAAUGAAUGGUCUGGUUAAGAGGUUGCUUUGCAAGUGACGUAAUCGGCAGCGCGUGAUUAGGUUGUUGCUGUCAGGUGGUCCGACAGGCUCGACCUUGAACAAUGUGCAAGCCCAAUUGUCUUUGGUUUCGUUUCGGUCAGCAGCAGCGGCCAGGACCAAUAGCCUGUUUUGGUCCACCCUUCUCAAGUAGUUGCCGUUGUAGGAGCAUUUGAUAUGCACGUAAUUCUUGUCGGCGUAGUCCUCAUUGUUUGGCUUCUCGGUAGUGAACUUUAUGAACCUGCUGUUUUCAUUGUCCUCGGAAAAUUGGACAAUCUCAUUAAGGUCGCUUUCUGCAUCAAGUUGAUAGCGCAAAUACUUGUUGUUGGUAUCUGCUUUCAGCAGAAAGGGGCUUGGUAGUACAGGUGGAGCCAUGUUGUAUAGUGUAGUUGGGAUUGGGAUGAUCUCUCUUUUUUUCUUCUCUCUUGAUGGUUUAAUUUGCUUGCUG